AACGAACGCUGGCGGCAUGCCUAACACAUGCAAGUCGAACGAGACCUUCGGGUCUAGUGGCGCACGGGUGCGUAACGCGUGGGAAUCUGCCCUUCGGUUGGGAAUAACUGAGAGAAAUUUCAGCUAAUACCUUAUAAUGUCUUCGGACCAAAGAUUUAUCGCCGAGGGAUGAGCCCGCGUAGGAUUAGGUAGUUGGUGGGGUAAUGGCCUACCAAGCCGACGAUCCUUAGCUGGUCUGAGAGGAUGAUCAGCCACACUGGGACUGAGACACGGCCCAGACUCCGACGGGAGGCAGCAGUGGGGAAUAUUGGACAAUGGGCGAAAGCCUGAUCCAGCAAUGCCGCGUGAGUGAUGAAGGCCUUAGGGUUGUAAAGUUCUUUUACCCGGGAUGAUAAUGACAGUACCGGGAGAAUAAGCUCCGGCUAACUCCGUGCCAGCCGCCGCGGUAA
rnacentral:rRNA from 1 species